AAUCUUGUUUGUUUCAGGUGGAGUUGAUCUCAGAAAAUACACUGUAGAGGUUUAUGUAAAGCAGGACGAGAGGGAAGAUCAACGGACGGGAUCUAAGCUCUGUCGGCUCCAGCGAGAUCGCCGUGUCACAUCUAGUCCCCCCACCAGAAUGUAUUAAUUUCAACGGUCGGGUAGAGCUUCUCAGUGGUUAGUUAGGUCCCAUGAUAAGGGGCUGACAACCAUCUUUCUAUAUAAGUGGGAAAUUUAUUUUUAA